UUUCAGCGUGUAACUCAAACAUGUAAUUUUUACCACUAUUUAAGUGGAACAGUGUCACUUGAAAAGUGGUAAAUAUUCAACAACGUGUAAAAUUUGGUGCAUGUACUCAAAAACGUGUAAAAUCGCCAUCAUAGUUUGACAGCUGCUGGAAGCAUCCACCUCGAGGGAACUGGAUCACGGAGAUGGACAUCCAGGUGAAAUGAAAGUAUGCUGAUAAAACGACUAGAAGCUGGAAUGCAGCAAUUAGGAAGAUGCGCAUGGAGGAAUAUCUCACGAAGGAAGCAAGCAGCCCUAAGAUCACCAAAAUUGCAUCCUCAAAAAAGAAGUCUUUUCACAUAAACGAAGCUUUUGCUGCUGGACAUCGAUAACCAAUAAACGAAGAGGGAAAAAUUGUGAAAAGAAUUUUUUUUUUGGAAAAAUAAAAAUACACGCUAGAAAUUACAUGUUUUUUUAAUUUUACACGCUCCUUUUUACACAUUUUUGAAAAUUACAUUUUCCAAAUUACACGGAAAAACAUUACAUGCUGGAAAUUACACGCAAAAAAAAUAUUACACGCUGAAGAUUACACGUUUUAAAAAUUACACUUUUCCCAAAAUUACCACUAUAAUAGAGAUGUCAAAAAUUACCUACUAUUAUAGUG